rnacentral:rRNA from 1 species
AUGAACGCUGGCGGCGUGCCUCAUCCCUGCAAGUCGAGCGAACAGACGAGGAGCUUGCUCCUCUGACGUUAGCGGCGGACGGGUGAGUAACACGUGGAUAACCUACCUAUAAGACUGGGAUAACUUCGGGAAACCGGAGCUAAUACCGGAUAAUAUAUUGAACCGCAUGGUUCAAUAGUGAAAGACGGUUUUGCUGUCACUUAUAGAUGGAUCCGCGCCGCAUUAGCUAGUUGGUAAGGUAACGGCUUACCAAGGCAACGAUGCGUAGCCGACCUGAGAGGGUGAUCGGCCACACUGGAACUGAGACACGGUCCAGACUCCUACGGGAGGCAGCAGUAGGGAAUCUUCCGCAAUGGGCGAAAGCCUGACGGAGCAACGCCGCGUGAGUGAUGAAGGUCUUCGGAUCGUAAAACUCUGUUAUUAGGGAAGAACAAAUGUGUAAGUAACUAUGCACGUCUUGACGGUACCUAAUCAGAAAGCCACGGCUAACUACGUG